rnacentral:rRNA from 1 species
UAUUGGACAAUGGAUGGAAAUCUGAUCCAGCCAUGCCGCGUGCAGGAAGACGGCCCUAUGGGUUGUAAACUGCUUUUGUAUGGGAGCAAUAAGGACUACGUGUAGUUUGAUGAGAGUACCAUACGAAUAAGCAUCGGCUAACUCCGUGCCAGCAGCCGCGGUAAUACGGAGGAUGCGAGCGUUAUCCGGAUUUAUUGGGUUUAAAGGGUGCGUAGGCGGCGAUAUAAGUCAGUGGUGAAAUAUUUCGGCUUAACCGAGAGACUGCCAUUGAUACUGUGUUGCUAGAAUAUGGUUGCUGUGAGUGGAAUGUGUGGUGUAGCGGUGAAAUGCUUAGAUAUCACACAGAAUAUCGAUUGCGAAGGCAGCUCACAAGGCCAUUAUUGACGCUGAGGCACGAAAGUGUGGGGAUCAAACA